UACGAAGGGUGCAAGCGUUACUCGGAAUUACUGGGCGUAAAGCGUGCGCAGGCGGUCUGUUAAGACCGAUGUGAAAUCCCCGGGCUUAACCUGGGAACUGCAUUGGUGACUGGCAGGCUUUGAGUGUGGCAGAGGGAGGUAGAAUUCCACGUGUAACAGUGAAAUGCGUAGAGAUGCGGAGGAACACCGAUGGCGAAGGCAGCCCCCUGGGCUAACACUGACGCUCAGGCACGAAAGCGUGGGGAGCAAACAGG
rnacentral:rRNA from 1 species